rnacentral:tRNA from 1 species
GGUCUGUAGCUCAGCUGGUUAGAGCACCGUCUUGAUAAGGCGGGGGUCGUUGGUUCGAGUCCAACCAGACCCACCA